UUAAGUUCAGCGGGUAUUCCUACCUGAUCCGAGGUCAACCUGAGAAGGAUGAGGUCGCGGCCAGCGCCGGCCUGGCGCCCAGAGCGAGGUGUGUUACUACGCUCGGGACCAGGACGGGACCGCCGUUGGCUUUCGGGGCCUGCGGGCGCAGGGCCCCAACACCAGGCAGAGCCUGAGGGUGGAAAUGACGCUCGGACAGG
rnacentral:misc_RNA from 1 species